AGUGCGAGCUGCUACGACAGCGAAGUUGGUGACGUCAUGCUUCCAAGAAAAGCCCUACACCCGUUAAGGCAUCAUGGCCUGUACCCGAAACCGACACAGGUGGGGUGGUAGAGAAUACCGAGGGGCGCGAGGUAACUCUCUCUAAGGAACUCGGCAAAAUGGCCCCGUAACUUCGGGAGAAGGGGUGCCACCGCAAGGUGGUCGCAGUGAAGAGGCCCAGGCGACUGUUUACCAAAAACACAGGUCUCCGCUAAGUCGCAAGACGAUGUAUGGGGGCUGACGCCUGCCCAGUGCCGGAAGGUUAAGGAAGCUGGUCAGCGCAAGCGAAGCUGGCGACUGAAGCCCCGGUGAACGGCGGCCGUAACGAUAACGGUCCUAAGGUAGCGAAAUUCCUUGUCGGGUAAGUUCCGACCCGCACGAAAGGCGUAACGAUCUGGGCGCUGUCUCGGAGAGAGGCUCGGCGAAAUAGAAUUGUCUGUGAAGAUCGGACUACGUGCACCCGGACAGAAAGACCCUAUGAAGCUUUACUGUAGCUUGGUAUUGUGCCCGGGCUCGCAAUGCGCAGGAUAGGUGGGAGGCUUUGAUCAUCGGCUUGCGGGUCGAUGUGAGCCAACGGUGAGAUACCACUCUUUGCGAGCUAGGGUUCUAACGGCCACCCGUCAUCCGGGGGUCGGACAGUACCUGGUGGGCAGUUUGACUGGGGCGGUCGCCUCCUAAAAGGUAACGGAGGCGCGCAAAGGUUUGCUCAGGCUGGUUGGAAAUCAGCCGACGAGUGUAAAAGCAGAAGCAAGCUUGACUGUGAGACCAACAAGUCGAACAGGGAGGAAACUCGGCUUUAGUGAUCCGACGGUUCUGAGUGGAAGGGCCGUCGCUCAACGGAUAAAAGUUACUCUAGGAUAACAGGCUGAUCUCCCCCAAGAGUUCACAUCGACGGGGAGGUUUGGCACCUCGAUGUCGGCUCAUCGCAACCUGGGGCUGAAGUCGGUCCCAAGGGUUGGGCUGUUCGCCCAUUAAAGCGGUACGCGAGCUGGGUUCAGAACGUCGUGAGACAGUUCGGUCCAUAUCCGGUGCACGCGCAGGAAUAUUGAGAGGAUUUCUCCCUAGUACGAGAGGACCGGGAGGAACGCACCUCUGGUGUACCAGUUAUCGUGCCAACGGUAAACGCUGGGUAGCCAUGUGCGGAGUGGAUAACCGCUGAAAGCAUCUAAGUGGGAAGCCCACCUCAAGAUGAGUAUUCCCAUGGCGUAAGCCAGUAAGGUCACGGGAAGAACACCCGUUGAUAGGCUCUAUGUGGAAGCGCAGUAAUGCGUGAAGCAGAGGAGUACUAAUAGACCGAGGGCUUGACCAA
rnacentral:rRNA from 1 species